CCUACGGGAGGCAGCAGUGAGGAAUAUUGGACAAUGGGCGCAAGCCUGAUCCAGCCAUGCCGCGUGCAGGAUGACGGUCCUAUGGAUUGUAAACUGCUUUUGUACAGGAAGAAACAGUUCUACGUGUAGAACCUUGACGGUACUGUAAGAAUAAGGAUCGGCUAACUCCGUGCCAGCAGCCGCGGUAAUACGGAGGAUCCAAGCGUUAUCCGGAAUCAUUGGGUUUAAAGGGUCCGUAGGCGGUUUAGUAAGUCAGUGGUGAAAGCCCAUCGCUCAACGGUGGAACGGCCAUUGAUACUGCUAAACUUGAAUUAUUAGGAAGUAACUAGAAUAUGUAGUGUAGCGGUGAAAUGCUUAGAGAUUACAUGGAAUACCAAUUGCGAAGGCAGGUUACUACUAAUGGAUUGACGCUGAUGGACGAAAGCGUGGGUAGCGAACAGGAUUAGAUACCCUGGUAGUCCACGCCGUAAACGAUGGAUACUAGCUGUUGGAAGCAAUUUCAGUGGCUAAGCGAAAGUGAUAAGAUCCCGACCUGGGGAGUACGUUUCGCAAGAAGUUAGAAGUACGAAGAAGUUAGAGGCGNGAGAGAGCGACGGACGACGACGAGGGAGGAGG
rnacentral:rRNA from 1 species